rnacentral:rRNA from 1 species
UAACGAGCGCAACCCUUGCCCUUAGUUACCAGCACGUUAUGGUGGGCACUCUAAGGAGACUGCCGGUGACAAACCGGAGGAAGGUGGGGAUGACGUCAAGUCAUCAUGGCCCUUACGGCCUGGGCUACACACGUGCUACAAUGGUCGGUACAAAGGGUUGCCAAGCCGCGAGGUGGAGCUAAUCCCAUAAAACCGAUCGUAGUCCGGAUCGCAGUCUGCAACUCGACUGCGUGAAGUCGGAAUCGCUAGUAAUCGUGAAUCAGAAUGUCACGGUGAAUACGUUCCCGGGCCUU